rnacentral:piRNA from 1 species
UACACAUGUGUGCUGGGGACUCAGACCCUU